UCCAGAGGGGGCAAGCGUUCUUCGGAAUUACUGGGCGUAAAGGGCGCGUAGGCGGCCUUCUAAGUCGAACGUGAAAUCCCCGGGCUCAACCCGGGAACUGCGUCCGAUACUGGAAGGCUUGAAUCCGGGAGAGGGAUGUGGAAUUCCAGGUGUAGCGGUGAAAUGCGUAGAUAUCAGGAGGAACACCGGUGGCGAAGGCGCUGCUCUGGGCCGGUACUGACGCUGAGGAGCGAAAGCGUGGGUAGCAAACAGG
rnacentral:rRNA from 1 species